AUCUCUGUUAAAAAAAUAAAGUGUGUGGGGGGAAGAUGAGCGCUAGAGUGAAGACAUUUAAAAUAAUUGGUGUCAAGUCUAGGUUGAGGACUAGAGUCCCACUUCUCUGACAGUGGAAGGUGUUACAAAUGGUGGCCAAGUAUCAGCCAGUCCUGGCUUUGAGGUAAAGAUCUUCCACUAGUGAGGCAUCUUGGGUAACAUAUUUACCUCCCCGAGCAUCAGUUCAUCAUCUGCUAAAUGCAACUACUCAGAGUACCUGCCCAUAGAACUGUAAUGAGUAAGUUUAUCAAGGUGCCCAGCACACAGGAAAUGCUUGGUAAGUAUUGGCUCUGCCCCUUGGAUGUAGGAUGUGACUGAGCCACCACUUGUAGACAUGGGUGGCUGCCGGCAGGUACCUGUGCCUCGCACACAGUACAGCUCAGGCUCUCCUCUCAGGUAUUCAGGGAUUUGAAUUUCACAACUGGCUUCUCUCCAUUCCUACUCUACAGUAUGCUGGGAGUCUGGGGAAGUUACCAGUGCAGAGCUAGAGAGAGCAGGAGAAAAGGGAGCAUCAGCCCCUGUGUGGUCAAGGUGAGAAGGAUGUGAGAAGUUUCCAGGGCAGUGCUAAGGAAAAAAAAAAAAAACUGAGCCAGAAAUAGAGGUAGAGUGACAAGGCACCAAUAAGGGAAAACCAGUGUUGUUCAAGACCAUACAUGAGGGUGAGCCCCCUUUCCACUAAACCUACAUGUACCAGCCAGAAGAGGCAGUCAUCUUGGGGCCAGGAAGGAACUGUAUAAAGAGGUGAAGGGUCAAAGCUGGCUUGGGUACUUAGAAAUUUCAGUUCAGAACUGAGAAUUCUGAAGGGGCCUGCCUUGAUUCAUGGCCACUGUAGACUGGAGACCCAGUGGAUGGAGUGUGUCAUCAGCAACAAACCUAUGUACCUGAGCCUUCUGGCUCUUCCCAAGGGCGAUGAGUGAGAGCUUGUUUAUUCUGAGCCUGGAAGUCUGAUCUCUAUUCUCCUGAGGAUCUUCACUUCUGCUUCCAUCACAGGUCAGUAUGUUAGAUCUCUGACAAGUCUGUUUAUGUUAGAGACCCAAGUGGGCAGGAGUUCUCAACUCCAAACCUUAAACCCCUAAGCCCAUGCAAAGACAGGGCUGCCAGCCAUGUCUGUGCAGUCUAAAAAAAGUAAACUGAUUUUUAAUCAUACGUAUACUCUAAUUUCAUAUGGCCCACAUGAUUUUAGAUUUAUAAAACAUGACUUCAUCUGAGACAGCAAGAUUUAGAACCUAUUCCCUGCCACUUCUUUAUCUUCCAUGUCCCAACCAGGAUUCCCAGGGGUCUGGCCCACAGAUGGGUUGGGGAGGACCUCGUUUGCUCAGAGGCAUGCUACAGAGCUGAACAAUUUGAGACUUCAAUCCUGGUGGCCAGUUAUCUGUUGACUUAUGAAUGACCCCAGAUCUUCCUGGUUGUCAGAGUUUGAAGUAGGAGGCAAUAUAAGUGGUGGCUAAGGUAUAGCUAUACGUCAUUAUUAUUUUUUUAGCACUUACUAUAUAUAUUAGGUACUGUUCUAAGUGCUACCCAUGCUUCAUCUCACUAAUUCCUCACAACAGUCUGUGAGUAGGAACUAUAUUUAUCCCCAUUUUCAGAUGAAGAAACAGGUUUAUGGAAGCCAAGUGGCUGACCAAGAUUCCCAGCUAGUAAUUGUGGAGUUGUUUAGAAGGCUAACUCCAGAACCCAACUAAACUACACAACUGUGGCUGAUUAAAAUCAUUGUUGGUUACUUGAUAGAGGUGCAUUUCAUUUCUGGGAUGCCAUAUCAGCAGUCAGUUGUGAUUUCAAGAGUGUAUUUUUUCCCCUGUACUUUGUGAUGGGUUUUCUUUACUCACUGGCUUACCUGGCACCUGAUUUUCUCUUACCUUUGUAAAAUGUCAUGCAAGUUGCAGAGCCAUGGAAUCCUGUCCUGAAAUGAAGGCAGACACAAAGUGGCUUUUCCAGGUUUUGUUCGUUUUUACAGAAAGUUAAUCAUUUUCAUCAAUGUUAAGGUCCAGAGAGAUCUUAGUGGUUUUGAGGAGUAGGCCAUGCACAAGGCUGAGGGGUCAAGUCACUAGGCAGUUCAGCACAGAAGCAUUUUCCUGGUCCAGGUGUCAGAGGCUCUUUUCAUAAUAAUAAAAAUUGCCCUAAAAUACCAGUAGGAAACUUCCACCAUCUUUUUUUUUUUUUUCUUUUUUUUUGUGGUACGCAGGCCUCUCACUGUUGUGGCCUCUCCCGUUGCGGAGCACAGGCUCUGGACGUGCAGGCUCAGUGGCCAUGGCUCACGGGACCAGCUGCUCUGCGGCACGUGGGAUCCUCCUGGACCGGGGCACGAACCUGCGUCCCCUGCAUCGGCAGGUGGACUCUCAACCACUGCGCCACCAGGGAAGCCCAACUUCCACCAUCUUAAUCUUCCCAUUUGAGGAUACAGUAAGAAGGCAGCUGUCUAGAAGCCAGGAAGAGAAACUCCAGGCUCAGAAUAAACAAGAACCUGACCAUGCUGGCAUCUUGCUCUUGGACCUUCACCCUCCAGAACUGUGAGAAUAAGUGUCUAUUGUUUAAGCCACUCCGUCUAUGAUGUUUUGUUACAGCAGCCUGAGCUAAAACUCAUCUUAAAAACUCUGUGCCUGGGGCUUUUUUUGAGGAAAGAUCUCUGAUUACAGGUUCAAUUUCUUGAAUGAGCAUUGUGUUAUAUUCAGAUUUUUCUAUUCUUGAUUCAGUUUUGGUAACUGAAAUACUUUAGAAUCAGCAAGGUCACGUUUUCAUUGGCGGGGGUGGGGGGGAGUAGACUGUGUCCCUGAGCACUGUCUCUGCCGUCAGAUCACUGUUAUCCAAGCCUGUUUUCCCACAGUAAUUUAUAUUUUACUAUGAAAGUGUCCAAUUUUAUCUAAGUCUUAAAAUUCACUGGUAUCAGAUUUUUCAUGGCCUCUUUUCAUUCCUAGUCUUAAUUGUGCUUUUUUCCCCCCUUGAUCAAUCUUGCCAGAGAUUUGUCUGUUUUUAUCUUUUCAAACAAUUAGUUUCACUAUUCACCUAUAUGGCUUCUUUGUUUUAUAUUCCAUUAAUUUCAGCACUUAUUUCUAUAUUUUUCUACAUUCUUCCUUUUUAUUAUUUUUUUUCUACUUAAACCCUUAGAUCAUCAUUUUCAUUUUUGUUAUUUUUCCAAAAGUGCAUUCAGAGGCUGUAAAUUUCCUUCUAAGUACUCUUUCAGCUAUAUCCCAUAAGUUUUAGUUGAUAGCACUUUUGUCAUACAUUUCCAAAUAUCUUAUAAUUUCCACUAUGAUUUUUAACUUAUGAAUUUAUAUGAAUGUCAAUUUUUAUUUUUCAAUUUUACUUAUUUCUACAGUUUCCAACCAUUUUAUGAUUUGUGAGAAUUUUUAUUAUUGAUUUCUAAUUCUUGUGCAUUAUGAUAAAAAAUGUGAUUGAUUGGUAUGAUAUUGACUCUUUAGAAUUUGUGGCAAAUUGUGCCAUAGAGCACUAGUACUAUGUGGUCUAGUAUAUGGUCAAUAUUUAUAAAUGUUCCAUAUGUACUUGAAAAGAAUGUUUAUUUUUUAUUCAUGCUUUUCAAUAUAUUUGUUGUUUAAAUCUUCUAUAUCUUUACUAAUUCUUCUUGUCUGUUUUGUGUAUCUUUUGUCUGUUUUGAUGUUUUCAAGAGAGUUGUUUUAAAUUCUCCCAUAGAUUAAGAAUUGACAGUUUUCCCUUCUGUCUUAGUGUGUCUGAAAAUGUCUUCUGCUCUUACUCUUUCUCAUUUUAAAUAAGAUUUCAGUUGGUAAAGAAUUCUUGGUUGAUAGUUAUUUUCCCUCAGCAGUUUAAAUACUUACUCCCGUCUUUAGGGCUCUAUUGUUGUUGAGAAGUAUCUCUUGUUAUAUUGGGCAAUCAUUCAGAACAUAUAUUUUCUCUUUGGUAGCUAUAGGUAGAAAAUAAACCUCUUUGUCCUUGAUGUUUUGCAGUUUUACUAUUUAUCCUGUUCAGGACUCAUUUUAUAUAUUCAGUCUAAGGAAACUGUUAAUAUUAUCUCUUUGAAAAUUGCCUUUCCCCCACUUAUUCUAUUCUCCUUGGAUUCCUUUUAGUUGUAUGUGAAACAUUUUAUUAUACCAGUCUCUUAAUUUUUCUCGAAUAUUUUUCUAGUUAUCUAGCUCUCUUAUUCACUCUGGGUAAUAUCCUCUAGUCUGCCUUCUAAUUCACCAGUUCUCUCUUCAGCUGUGUCUAGUUUAUUGUUUAAUCCAUCUAUUGAUAAUGAAACAUUAUCAAUAAAUUUUCUGUUUCUUUCA